UACGUAGGGGGCGAGCGUUGUCCGAAGUUACUGGGCGUAAAGCGCGCGUAGGCGGCUUCUUAAGUCUGAGGUGAAAGGUUCAACGCUUAACGUGAACAGUGCCUUGGAUACUGGGGAGCUUGAGUGUGGCAGAGGAUAGUGGAAUUCCUGGUGUAGCGGUGAAAUGCGUAGAUAUCAGGAGGAACACCCAUGGCGAAGGCAGCUAUCUGGGCUAACACUGACGCUGAGGUGCGAAAGCGUGGGGAGCGAACGGGAUUAGAUACCCCGGUAGUCCACGCCGUAAACGAUGAGUGCUAGGUGUCGGGGGUAUCGACCCCCCCGGUGCCGUCGCUAACGCAUUAAGCACUCCGCCUGGGGAGUACGGCCGCAAGGUUGAA
rnacentral:rRNA from 1 species